rnacentral:rRNA from 1 species
CAGCCGCCACGGUAAAACGAAGGGGGCUAGCGUUGUUCGGAAUUACUGGGCGUAAAGGGCGCGUAGGCGGCCAUUCAAGUUAGAUGUGAAAGCCCUGGGCUCAACCUAGGAAUUGCAUUUGAUACUGUUUGGCUUGAGUUCGGGAGAGGUGAGUGGAAUUCCCCGUGUAGAGGUGAAAUUCGCAGAUAUUGGGAAGAACACCAGUGGCGAAGGCGGCUCACUGGACCGACACUGACGCUGAGGCGCGAAAGCGUGGGGAGCAAACAGGAUUAGAUACCCCCGUAGUCCCUGUCUCUUAUAC